AGGCCCUGAAAUAGGGUGAGAAAUUGCUGCAAAAUGAAUAUUCAGUCAGGAAUGUUGGUGGCCUGGUUUUCUUAAGAGUGGAGCUUGUUUAUGGAUCUGAUUAUCUUUUAGGACAAACCCAGUAAACCCUGCUGUGAAGUUGUGGGCUCCUUCUCCCUUCCCAUCCAUGUUCCUUUCUAUUAACACUCACUGAGGGCUAACCCUGUGCCAGGCACAGAGCUACACCCCUGAGGAUAUGGGGUCAUGGAUUUGACAUAGUGCCUGCCCUCAAGAAUGUACAGACUAGGGGAAGAGAUGGACACUGAACAAAUUAUUACCCCAACAACCACAGUGAGAGAUGCCAAGAAGGAGGCACCUCCAACAGAGCAGUAUAAGAGUGAGUGAAGGCCACCCCGCCUAGUCUGGGGGUUCAUGGACAACUUCUCCGAGGAAAUGAUAUUUGAGCCAAGACCUGAAGGGAAUGCUGCUACUGUGGAAAUAGAAGGAAGGCCCUCGGACUUCACCAUGACUUGUUUGCCAUUUUGGAAAAUGAUGUCAUUGACAGCAGCACCACCCUUGGAAUCUGAGCCGAUAGUGCCAUGCAAUUGUACCAGUCGUCACUUACAGCUAUUUCAUUCAUGGAGACUUUAGCUGUGUCCUUACAGUAAGAGGAAAUUCAGCCACAGAUACAGAAGGAAGACCAUGUGACGACAAGGAAAAGACAGCUAGUUAUCUGCAAGCCAAGGAGAGAGACCUCAGAAAAAAACCAACCCUGAAACUGUGAGAAGUACGUUCUGUUAAGCCGCCCAGUCCAUGGCACUUUGCUGUGGCAGCCCUAGAAUACUCGCACAUCCAGCCUGCCUGGUACUCAGACAUUCAUUUUUCUGCAAGUAUUUUUUAUGUCAUCUUCCAGAUCGUGAAGAUAUAUGAGUGAAUACACAGUUUCCAUGCUCACGCAAUAUAUGUUCUCAUCAAACACACAAAUAAGAUAAUUCCGAUUGACAGUGCGAAGGCCCCAGGGUAUAUGUGAACUUGGAGGGUUGAAAUAACAGAAUGGAAACCUGUGUUGAUGGAGUAGGUUGAGUGAGGGAGAGGGAAUAUGAGCUAAGGCUGGGGAGACCAGCAGUGUAGACCCAAGUCACCAACCACAUGUUUUUUUAUGCUUGUUUGAUUUACGGAAAGCCAUAACUAGAACUCAAUUCUGCUAACUCUCUGGCCACCAACGUUCUCAGAAAUGCCAUUGUGAUUCUUGCUAAGUGGAUCUAGUGAUACUGUGGGCUCCGUGAGACACUGCUGAUAUCCCCCUUUGGGAAAGAAGGACAAUCCCCCAGGUGCUGGGAAUUAUGCCGGAAGACAACCCUCUGCUGCCAGCCCACUUUGGGAAUUGCAUUAGCUAAAGAAAAACUGCCUCGCCCAGGGUUGUGCUUCUUUCCAGGGCAGCCCACAUCCAGUGACUGGCAGAUGUGGUGACUUAAUGACUGACCCUCUCAUUCUGACUCAAAACAAUUUUUUUUUUUGAGAUGGAGCCUCACUCUGUUGCCUAGGCUGGAGUGCACUGGUGUGAUCUCAG
rnacentral:lncRNA from 10 species